rnacentral:sRNA from 2 species
CUGUACUUCAUUGGGGAGUAGCCGCUGUUUACGCAAAGUAAACAGGUGAUGGUCAACAUAUUUGUUCAACAGAACAUGGCCAUCAUAGCAAAGAACCAAAUGAGCUUUUCUUAAAAGCUUUCUUUUGUUGGCAAGACCUUUGAU